GUUAGAAGACCAGAAAAAUCCAGAUUUUGUACAAACUCUGAAUAGUUGAGUUCAAUUAAGUGUGCAUUUGUUGAGUAAUGAACAUGUCCUGCUACUCAUGGAGUUCAGUAUCUUGUAGGGUUAUCAAAGCCCUAUUAUUGACUGUGUAUAAAAUGAUGGAGGAUACAAGGAAUAUAAAAAAUAGUUGAACUGUUCUGCUGAAGUUUUUGUUGUUUUGUUUUUAAAUUUGGAUUCUAGAGACAACUGGUAAAGACAAGAGCAUGAGUAUUUCAAGUUUCAUUUUGAGAACUGAGUCAUAGAUGUUGCAUUUCAAGCCAAGUAAAGAUUUUGUUGAAAUUUGGUUGUGUAGACACUUGAGAUAUAAUGAGGAACAAAAUGUUGCUUCUACCAUGGGGCUGGCAAUCUAGUCAGGAAGAUUCCUCUGGAUGAAAGAGAUCAUUAUAACUAUGGUAAGUGUGGAAUCUGGUGUAGUCUGGGAAUUCAUGGAAGAUUUCUCUGAGGAGAUAGUAUUUGAACUGAAAGCAAAGAGUACAUCAGAAUUAACUAAGAGAAGUGUGAUGGCAUAGUAAGCAGCAGGUACAGAUAACCUAGGCAGCAGGGAACAUAGCACAUAUAUGUGGGACUGGGGGAGGGUGGAGUGAUGGGGGAAACAGAGCCAGUUUAGCUAAUCCUAAACAAUAUAGAAGAGAGAAGUAAGAUUGGCUAGAUAUAUGGAGGCUGGAUUUUAUAGGGCCUGUUCGGUCUUUAUCUCUAAGGGCAGUGUCAAACCACUGAAGUAAUUUAAACAGAAGAGUGGUACAAUCUGGUUUGCAUUUUGGAAAGAAUAUUCUUUCUGUUUUGUGCAUAAUGGAUUGAAAAGAGGCUACAUAAAAUUCAGGAAGCCACUACAGUAGUCCGCACACAAGAUGAUGCUAGCUUACUUAGUGUAGUGACAGUGAUGAUGGAGAAAAGUUAACCAAUGGGAGUAGUAGUAGAAGAAAUAGUUAAAAUCUGAAUGUAUACAUCAUUGGUACAUUUAAUAAAUAUAUUUUAAAACCUUUUACUUAUUCUAUAUUUGUUUACUUUUUAAUAUAUAUAUUAGUUGUGUAGUUCUCCUUGAUAGUCAUUGCCUACUUCUAUUUACCUUUUUGCUUUACUGUUGAGAGCCUAUUGAGUAAUUGCUUAGAUGUUUAAUAACAAAAUAUUGAUACAUAAAAGAAUAUAUAAAACAUCUUUAAGGUAUAAAUAAAAAACAAAAUACCUGUGAUGUAUCAUCUCAUAUAGUUAUAGAGUUUUAGCUGUUAGAAGUAAUUCUGGAGAAAUCCCAGGCAGGCAGGCAGGUGAGCAAUUAGGAGCCAGAGGUCCUCUUAGAGAUUUUCUGACUAGCAUCCAUUAGUUGAAAGAAGAGGAAGGGUAAUGACUGUAUUAAGAGUGGCAAUAAUCAAACACCUAAUGACCCUGCAAAUGAAGAGAAUUAUGCCUAAUGUAAAAACAAAGAAUGCUUAAUGUAAUGAGCUAUGUAGAUAUAUGAUAAUAAUACUCUUGUUAUUAGAGCUUCACAUUGUAAAUUAGUCCCUAUAUAAUCAGAUCUGAGAAAAGGAUGGGAAGGAAGAAAAGUGAGGGACUAGUAGAAACAGCCAGUCUCUAAAAAGAAGAAAAUUGUCUUGUUAGAACUACUGAAACUUUGGUGGAAGGAUAGAAGGAAGCUUAAUGGGUCAAAGGCACUGCUCCUUGAACUUUCCUUCUCAUAUACCUUUGAAAGCAUGUACAGUUACAUGUUAUUUACAGCAUUCUUACAUUCAGAUCCCUGCCUGUGAUUUUUUGGGAAAUAAAUGUGCUUUAGUGGUCUACUAUUUGAAUUUCCAUAAAUGAGAUUUUUUUUUUGCCAUGUACCUGAUUUUAGAAAAUUAUAAUUCAAAACUGUCUUUAAAAUGUGUAAAAUCAAAGGGACACAUAUGUAAUACCCUUUGUAAUA